AGAGUUUGAUCCUGGCUCAGGAUGAACGCUGGCGGCGUGCUUAACACAUGCAAGUCGAACGGAGUUUUAAACGGAAGUUUCGGGUGGAAGUUUAAAACUAGUGGCGGACGGGUGAGUAACGCGUGGGUAACCUGCCUCAUACAGGGGGAUAACAGUUAGAAAUGACUGCUAACACCGCAUAAUAUAGCGAAACCGCAUGAUUUUGCUAUCAAAUAUUUAUAGGUAUGAGAUGGGCCCGCGUCUGAUUAGCUAGUUGGUGGGGUAAAAGCCUACCAAGGCGACGAUCAGUAGCCGGCUUGAGAGAGUGACCGGCCACAUUGGGACUGAGACACGGCCCAAACUCCUACGGGAGGCAGCAGUGGGGAAUAUUGGACAAUGGGGGAAACCCUGAUCCAGCCGACGCCGCGUGAGUGAAGAAGUAUUUCGGUAUGUAAAGCUCUAUCAGCAGGGAAGAUAAUGACAGUACCUGACUAAGAAGCCCCGGCUAACUACGUGCCAGCCGCCGC
rnacentral:rRNA from 1 species